rnacentral:rRNA from 1 species
AAUAAACGCUGGCGGCGUGCCUAACACAUGCAAGUCGAGCGAGAAAGCUUCUUCGGAAGUGAGUACAGCGGCGAACGGGUGAGUUACGCGUGAGAAUCUACCUUUUAGUGGAGAAUACUCUUGAGAAAUUGAGGUUAAUACUGCAUAAGUCCCUUCGGGGAGAAAGAUGGCCUCUUUGCUGUCGCUAAAAGAUGAGCUUGCGUGCUAUUAGCUAGUUGGUAGGGUAAAGGCCUACCAAGGCGAUGAUGGCUAGCCGGCCUGAGAGGGUGUACGGCCACACUGGAACUUAGACACGGUCCAGACACCUACGGGUGGCUG